GGCAAGCGUUAUCCGGAAUUAUUGGGCGUAAAGCGUCCGCAGGCGGCCUGACAAGUCUGCUGUUAAAGCGUGGAGCUUAACUCCAUUUCAGCAGUGGAAACUGUCAGGCUUGAGUGUGGUAGGGGCAGAGGGAAUUCCCGGUGUAGCGGUGAAAUGCGUAGAUAUCGGGAAGAACACCAGUGGCGAAAGCGCUCUGCUGGGCCAUCACUGACGCUCAUGGACGAAAGCCAGGGGAGCGAAAGGGAUUAGAUACCCCUGUAGUCCUGGCCGUAAACGAUGAACACUAGGUGUCGGGGGAAUCGACCCCUCCGGUGUCGUAGCCAACGCGUUAAGUGUUCCGCCUGGGGAGUACGCACGCAAGUGUGAAACUCAAAGGAAUUGACGGGGGCCCGCACAAGCGGUGGAGUAUGUGGUUUAAUUCGAUGCAACGCGAGGAACCUUACCAGGGCUUGACAUCCUGCGAACCUCUGGGAAACCGGAGGGUGCCUUCGGGAACGCAGUGACAGGUGGUGCAUGGCU
rnacentral:rRNA from 1 species